ensembl:lncRNA
CACAGGGGGGGGGCGUCAGGCCGGCCCGUCAUGAAGGAACACAAGAAGAUACAGAGAGAGAGAAGAGAGAACAGGAUGGCCCUAAUGCACCACGCCCACAAGGGCUCUGGACCCACUGGGACCCACUGGCUCCUACUGGGACGCGACCCACUGGGACCCACUGGGAGGGUCCCACUGGGAGGGUCCCACUGGGAGGGUUCCAGUGGGACCCACUGGGACCCACUGGGUCCUACUGGGACGCGACCCACUGGGACCCACUGGGAGGGUCCCACUGGGAGGGUCCCACUGGGAGGGUUCCAGUGGGACCCACUGGGACCCACUGGCUCCUACUGGGACGCGACUUACUGGGACCCACUGGGAGGCGGUUGGGGGGGGCAGAAGAGCUGUAUGGGGUCAGAGGUCAACACGGUUCCAGGACGCCCCGGGUCACAGAUCAGACCUGAAGGGACUUCCUAAUCAUUUGAAAUGCGAUCUUCCUCGACCAGACCCUCUGGAGCCGGGAGGAGGCCCGGGACCGCCAUAGGACCCUCAGGGCAGGAGAGAGGGUUGGGUUAGGGUUAGGGUCGGUCCCGGGCCUCCUCCAGACCCUCUGGAGCCUGGAGGAGGCCCGGGACCGCCAGGACCCUCAGGGCAGGAGAGAGGGUUGGGUUAGGGUUAGGGUCGGUCCCGGGCCUCCUCCAGACCCUCUGGAGCCGGGAGGAGGCCCGGGACCGUCAGGACCCUCAGGGCAGGAGAGAGGGUUAGGGUUAGGGUUAGGGUUAGGGUCGGUCCCGGGCCUCCUCCAGACCCUCUGGAGCCUGGAGGAGGCCCGGGACCGUCAGGACCCUCAGGGCAGGAGAGAGGGUUAGGGUUAGGGUUAGGGUCGGUCCCGGGCCUCCUCCAGACCCUCUGGAGCCUGGAGGAGGCCCGGGACCGUCAGGACCCUCAGGGCAGGAGAGAGGGUUAGGGUUAGGGUUAGGGUCGGUCCCGGGCCUCCUCCAGACCCUCUGGAGCCGGGAGGAGGCCCGGGACCGCCAUAGGACCCUCAGGGCAGGAGAGAGGGUUAGGGUUAGGGUUAGGGUCGGUCCCGGGCCUCCUCCAGACCCUCUGGAGCCGGGAGGAGGCCCGGGACCGCCAUAGGACCCUCAGGGCAGGAGAGAGGGUUGGGUUAGGGUUAGGGUCGGUCCCGGGCCUCCUCCAGACCCUCUGGAGCCUGGAGGAGGCCCGGGACCGCCAGGACCCUCAGGGCAGGAGAGAGGGUUGGGGUCGGUCCCGGGCCUCCUCCAGACCCUCUGGAGCCUGGAGGAGGCCCGGGACCGCCAUAGGACCCUCAGGGCAGGAGAGAGGGUUGGGUUAGGGUUAGGGUCGGUCCCGGGCCUCCUCCAGACCCUCUGGAGCCUGGAGGAGGCCCGGGACCGUCAGGACCCUCAGGGCAGGAGAGAGGGUUAGGGUUAGGGUUAGGGUCGGUCCCGGGCCUCCUCCAGACCCUCUGGAGCCGGGAUGAGGCCCGGGACCGUCAGGACCCUCAGGGCAGGAGAGAGGAGGUCAAGCGUUGGUUUCCUGGGGUCUGACUCGACAGGUUGGGCUCCUAGAGGGUCCCCAGACCACGGCCCAUCAGCUCUGGCUCUUUUUUACACAUUGGUCUGCGAUGUCUGCUCCUCCUGCUCCAGCUCCUGCUCUUCCUCCACCCUCCUACCUCUCUGCUCCACCCCCUCACGCUGGGACACGCCCACUCCACUACUAAGUAUAUGCAAACAAAAUAAGGACUGUGUGUCAUGAUAUAUAUUAUUACACUCUCACUGGCGUAGUGCUGCAUGUAUGGACCAGACCCAUGUACUAGCCCAGCUCGCCCGCACUGGGAGGAAGAAAACACUGCGUCUCUGUGCUUUGUUUACUGUUUCCAUGACAACUAGCCAUAUUAGCUCCUAGCUCAACGUGUCGCUAGUCACAUUAGCUCCUUAGCUCCUAGCUUCACAUCAUAGCAUUAAUUCUUACUGAUGAGCAGCAGAAACCAACGUGGCAGUUUGACUCGUGACUGUUGAGUCCAUCGUUCAUACUCUCCUCACUGGGAGCACUGGGAUGAGCCGAACCAGCGCAGAGACCAGCGCCCUGCGGUCGUUAGGGCAGUAUGAAGGGAGAGCUCUGCGGCAGCAGGGAGCCUGCUAGCUCCGUAACCCUAACCCUAACCUCUAGCCCAACACGCUUGAUACGCAAAGCACACUCAAAAAGUAUUCAAACAAAUAUAGAGUCACUAAUUCAAUAUCUUCUGAGCACAAAAAAGACCUGUACAGUUCAUGACGUGGACGUUCAUUCAGAGCUCCAGCCCGGUCUCCUGGUCACCUGACCGCCCGGUCUCCUGGUCACCUGACCGCCCGGUCUCCUGGUCACCUGACCGCACGUCCACAGCAGACAGCCGGGCUCAGAGAACAGGAAAGGAACUGGGAGCCCAGCCGUGGCCGUCUGGUCGUACUGCUCCUCCCAGGACCCCACAGCCACUGAACCCAUUGAGGGACGCCAGGGUCCAGGGCCCUAGGUCCAGGGCCCUGGACCUAGGGCCCUGGGCUAGGGGCGAAGAGAAGCCUGCUGUGAGCCAGUAGAGCAGGAGAGACGGGAGGGGAGGAGAUGAAGGUCAGCCUAGAGACUAGCUGCUCACUCGGGACGGUCGUUUCUCCUGGUCCGGGUAGAGAGAGGUGGGGUUGUCCCACUGAAGGUGAACCUGGUCUGGGUAGAGAGCUGGGGGGUUGUCUCUCUGAAGGUGAUGUGGUACCUGGUCUGGGUAGAGAGCUGGGGGGUUGUCUCUCUGAAGGUGAUGUGGUACCUGGUACACAAGUCACUGGACCUGCUCAGCUCCCAAUCUUUCCCUUUUGGACAAUCACGGUUUCAAAAGCUCUUUUGGUUUGAAAAAGACCUUCAAAAAGGCAAACACACCCUCCUACGCACAGACAUUUGUUUUUGUUUCAUGCUUCCAGAGACUGUGUUGAUAAUUACAAAGGACUUCCAUUUAAUGAUUACAAUGUCAUUUGUGUUUUUUUAAGUAGUUACUUUUUUAGGUGAAUAUGUUUUUCUAAUUCAAGCCUUUCUUUGCUGGUGAGGUACACGUUGAAGUACAUCAAAACAGUGAUCACUAGCUACAGUGAUGUACAUUCUGUCUGCUUUAGUCUUGUUUUUAUUGGGGUUGGAUUGUGUGGAAACCAUUAACUGAUUGUUGAAUCUUUUUUUACCAUAUCAGCCUCAUAGAUAACACCGCUCUGUGCCACACACGCACACACACACACACACACACACACAGACCUGCAUAUGUGUAUGUACACACACACACACACACACACGUAUCUCUAACUACAUACAUGCAGUUUGUGUGCAUGCUCAGCUGUAGAGACACAAAAGCUCCAUUCAUGAGACGCUUUGAAUAAUCCAACGCUUGAAACCACUGGCGCCGCCCACAUACACAAGACCCCAGAGGACACGCCCCUCACACACUAGUAUGACAUCACAGGACACGCCCCUCACACACUAGUAUGACAUCACAGGACACGCCCCUCACACACUAAUAUGACAUCACAGGACAUGCCCCUGAGACACUAGUAUGACAUCAAAAGACACGCCCCUCACACACUAAUAUGACAUCACAGGACACGCCCCUGAGACACUAGUAUGACAUCACAGGACACGCCCCUGACACACUAGUAUGACAUCACAGGACACGCUUCUCACACACUAGUAUGCAAGCAGGAGUACAGUACCAUGUACAGCUGGACCAUAUACAGAGUGGACCAUGUACAGAGUGGACCAUGUAGAGAGGACCAUGUACCGCGUUCCCAUGGGGGGUGCAUUCAUGUUUACGCUCUGUGUUGCUCUCAGGAGAAACGCUGCCUCCACGUGUCACAUGUCAUACUUCUGUCACAACAUAUCAUGCUACUUGCCUCUCACGUAUGCUAUGACGCCAUCCCUCUCUUAAACACUGUACCUUCUCCCCCCAUGCCAAAGCGAGUCAUUUGAAGAGAGUCUAUAGACACAUUUCGACAUGGCGAACGCACACAGCUACACAGGUGAGCAGGUGGAGGCUUCCAUUUUGCCGAUGCAAAUAUGUUGAAAGAAAGAUAAUCAACUAAAUGUGAAAAAGGCUGGAUUUACUCAGGAAACAAAAGGAAUCUCAUCUCAUUCCCCUGUGAUCCAAACUGGACCGGUUGUUGCUAUGACACAUGAAACGAGACGACACAACUUUUGGCUUUGUCUUCUUUCAUUUCAGCAUGAACGCGUUGUUCGAACCUCCCGCCAUUGAGGAGGUAGCGGCCACCAGGUGGCAGCAAAGUCUCCUCAUCAAUAAAGAAACUGCAGCAUUAAGAGAACAUUUCAGUUGUAGCAAGAAUACACUUUCUUCCUCCUUCCCCCAACUAAAUGUGUGUUAUCAAAGCAAUAUGGCCACCGAUAUAUCCCACCUCUGCACUGUUGGAGCUUAGUGCUAGGCACUUACUUUGUAUUGCGUUAAAAAGCUAAUGUCAAGAAAAGAAUCUCGCCAGUUUGUCGUAUGAGUUUUGAAUGUUUCAAGACUCCAUGUUCUGUUAUGGCUUUACAUAAUCUCUAGAGCGUUAACGAUGAUAAGCGAUAAACCUUGAUUAAAUGUAGCUUUUGUUAUAUUUCUUUUUCGAAAGGCGGCUAUAAAAUGACAAUGAACUAUAUCAAUAAAAUGUGUAAAAAUAUGAUAUCUUGAAAACAGUGUUUCCUUAUAGUCCAAAGGAUUUGUCCGUCAUUACAACGCAUCGAGAACAAAGCAAGUGUUUCAUGUCUGUCAACAUGACACCACCAACAUCACAGGAAUAUUUUUCUAUUAUGGCACAAGAUUGUGGUUCACUGUAAAAAUACGUUGUGUUCAUCAGUUCAGUUCUCCGCUGCAUUUAGAUUCUUUCAUGGGCUGACUCCCCUCGGAUCACGACUACAGCUCAGCUGUGAAGAUCUGCGCUCAGUUCGGGUUCACUGGAUGAAAGGACUCCUGGUUCUCGUGCUUGUGCUGAAGAACAAGCUAAAUGCAGCUGGAUGGCUUCAGAACCAUGAAUACAUGAAUUGUCCAAACAAUGUAGUUGCUAUGUGUAGAUGUAGAACAAUGGGCGAGGAAGGCUCCCCUGACGACCACAUGUGUUCACAACAUCCUCCAGAGACCAGGAUGGGUUAGGGUCAGGGUCAGGGCUAUGGUAAACCCUAACCCUGACCCUAACCCAUCAGGAGACCGGGAGGUUGAACUGGACCGGGUCCAUGAGGCUCACUGUGUCACCAGGGGGGUGACCCCAUGAGGCCUCUUGCUGUCACCAGGGUGGUGACUAUGAGGCUUCAUGCUUUCACCAGGGGUCAUGGCUGUAAUCCCAAUGAUGGCUGUCAGGUUGAAUGAUGAUGGCUCAGAUGAUUGUCAUGUCCAUGACAUUAGUCAAUAAAUAAAAAAUGCAUUGAUAUAGAGACUUAUUAUUUGUGUGUGUGUGUGUGUGUGUGUGUGUGUGUGUGUGUGUGUGUGUGUGUGUGUGUGUGUGUGUGUGUGUGUGUG